rnacentral:sRNA from 1 species
GCUGGGUGCGGUGGCGCAUGCCUGUAAUCCCAGUGGCUUGGGUGGCUGAGGCAGGAGGAUUGUGAGUUCAAAGAUAGCCUCAGCAACAGUGAGGCACUGAGCAACUCAGUGAGACCCUGUCUCUA